CCUACGGGGGGCUGCAGUGGGGAAUAUUGGACAAUGGGGGGAACCCUGAUCCAGCCAUGCCGCGUGUGUGAAGAAGGCCCUCGGGUUGUAAAGCACUUUCAGUGAGGAAGAACGCCUGGUGGUUAAUACCCAUCAGGAAAGACAUCUCUCACAGAAGAAGCACCGGCUAACUCCGUGCCAGCAGCCGCGGUAAUACGGAGGGUGCGAGCGUUAAUCGGAAUUACUGGGCGUAAAGCGCGCGUAGGUGGCUUGAUAAGCCGGUUGUGAAAGCCCCGGGCUCAACCUGGGAACGGCAUCCGGAACUGUCAAGCUAGAGUGCAGGAGAGGAAGGUAGAAUUCCCGGUGUAGCGGUGAAAUGCGUAGAGAUCGGGAGGAAUACCAGUGGCGAAGGCGGCCUUCUGGACUGACACUGACACUGAGGUGCGAAAGCGUGGGUAGCAAACAGGAUUAGAUACCCCAGUAGUC
rnacentral:rRNA from 1 species